GUGAAUCAUCAAAUCUUUGAACGCAAAUUGCACUCUCUUCGGAGAGUAUGCCUGUUUGAGGGUCAGUAUUAAUAAAAAUCGGCGUGUUGCUCCUUUGUGACGCUCCGGAGUUUGGGUCAUCUUAUAACAACAUCCUUUCAGAGUAUUUUUAAGUGGACUAAAAUUGACCUUUUUUGUUCAUUUUAGACGCUUAUAAAUUUUUUUUUAUUUGUCUACCUUAAUUCCUAAAUCUUGU
rnacentral:misc_RNA from 1 species